rnacentral:lncRNA from 1 species
GAUUUCAUGGAGGCCCGGGGCCGCGGGCGCUGUUCUCCUUCCUGUGCCGAGUGUGGUUUGCUAUCAAGCGGUGGCAGUUCAGCCACAAUCAGGGGCAGGGGGAGGGAGAGGCCCCCCGAAGAGGCAGAGGCCCUGCCUCGGCCGCCCUGAGCCUGGAAGGUGAUUGGCUAGAGCGACUCCCGGCCGGGAGCGGAAUGAAUGGCGGGGACCGGGGCCUCUGGGUGGUGCGAGCAUCAUGUUGCCUUUUAAUAUGGAGCAUGUGCCAUAGCUCUCCAGGAGAACCCCUCUGUGUCACAGCGAACCUCAGUCACUGACACUCAAAAGAAGGAAUUAUUUCAACUCAAUAAUAAACAAAUAACCCUAUUUUAAAAUCAGCAAAGGGUGUUACCACAUUUCCACAGAAGGUAUACAAAUGGCCAGUAAUCAUGUGAAAAGAUGCUUGAUAUCAUUUGUCAUCAGGGAAAUGCAAAUCAAAACUGCAAUGAGAGGCCAGGCGCUGUGGCUCACACCUGUAAUCCCAGCGCUUUGGGAGGCUGAGGCAGGUGGAUCGCUUGAGCCCAGGAGUUCAAACCCAGCCUGACCAACAUGGUGAAACCCCGUCUCUACAAAAAAAUACAAAAAUUAGCCGGGCACAGUGGCCUGUGCCUGUAAUCCCAGCUACUCAGGAGGCUGAGGCAGGAGACUCACUUGAACCCAGGAGGCAGAGGUUGCAGUGAGCCGAGAUUGUGCCAUUGCACUCCAGCCUGGGUGACGGGAGUGAAACCCUGUCUAAAAAAACCCCAAAAACAAAAACUACAAUGACAUAUCACUUUAUAUGCACUAGGAUGCCUAGCAUCAAAAGGUCAAAUAAAACAAGUAUGUGGAGAAACUGCGACCCUCAUACACUGCUGGUGGGAAUGUAAGAUGGUGCAGAAACUUUGGAAAGGAGUCUGGCAGCUCCUCAAAAGGUAAAAGCAUGGAGUUAUCAGGUGGCUCACAAAUUCCAUUCCUAGGGACCUAAAAGAAAUGAAGACAUGCUAUACAAACACCUGAAGACAUGCUAUACUAACACCUGAAGCCAUGCUAUACUAACACCCGAACAUGAAUGUUCAGAACAGCAUCAUUCAUGAUUACCAAGAAGUGGAAAAAACCCAAAUGUCCAUCAACUAACUGACGAGUGGAUACAGUAUAUCCAUGCAGUGGAAUUUCUUUUUCUCUUUCUUUCUUUCUUUUCUUUCUCUUUCUUUCUUUCUUUUUCUUUCCUUCUUUCUUUCUUUCUUCUUUCUUCUUUUUUUUUUUUUUGAUGGGAUCUCUUUCUGUCACCCAGGCUGGAGUUCAGUGAUGCUAUCUCAGCUCACUGCAACCUCCUCCUGGGCUCAAGCGAUCCUCCCACCUCAGCCUCCCCAGUAGCUGGGACCACAGGUGCCUGCCACCACACCCGACUAAUUUUUUGUAUUUUUGGUAGAGAUGGGGUUUCUGCCCAGGCUGGUCUUGAACUUCUGAGCUCAAGCGAUCCACCCGCCUCAGCCUCCCAAAGUGCUGGGAAUACUGGCUUGAGCCACUGCGCCCAGCUAUGCAGUGGAACAUUUCUCAGCCAUAGAAGAGAAUAAAGUACUGAUACAUGCUACAACAGGGACAAACUUUGAAAACAUUAUGCUAAGUGAAAAAAGUCAGUCACAAAUGAUCACAUGUUACAUGAUUUCAUUUACAUGAAUUGUUCAGAGAAGGCAAAUCUGUAGAGAGAGAAAGAUUAGUGGUUACCUAGGUCUGGGGGUUUGGGGGAAAAUGGGAGUGACUGGUAAUGGGUAUGGGGUUUCCUUUUGAGGUUAUGAAAAUGUUCUAAAAUUGUGGUGAUGGUUUCAUGAGUAUGUGAACAUGCUAAAAGCAAUUGCCUUGUACACAUUAAAUGCGUAAAUUAUAUGGUAGAUGAGUUAUAGCUCAAUAAAGCUGUUCUAUAAAAAUAAACCACUGGGCACUGUGGCUCACGCCUGUAAUCCCAGCACUUUGGGAGGCCGAGGCAGGCAGAUCACCUGAGGUCAGGAGUUCGAGACCAGCCUGACCAACAUGGUGAAACCCUGUUUCUACUAAAAAUACAAAAUUAGUUGGGUGUGGUGGUGCAUGCUUGUAAUCCCAGCUACUCAGGAGGCUGAGACAGGAGAAUCACUUGAACCUGGGAGGUGGAGGUUGCAAAUGAGCCGAGAUCACGCCAGAAAAAAAGAAUAGGUUAACAUAGACUCAGUAUACAAGAAAGGGAAGUGUGGCGGCUCACAUCUGUAAUCCCCGUGAAGUGGGAUUUGUUUAACAUUUUUUGAAAAUCAGAAUAAAAAAGAUUAGUGCUUAAACUGAUACUCUCUAGUUAUUUGGAAAAUACAUUUAUGUAAAACAUGUGUUUUCCUAUUAUAGUCUAAAUUAGAACAUUGGAGCACCUAGCAACAUCUUAAAGCUAGUUAAACAGAAUGACAUCAUAUUUUGACCAUACUGUUUUGAAAUUGUGCAGUUUCUCUUUGUAUCUCUAGAGUGAUUCAUGAAUAUGUAUUUGGCUUCUCAAAUUAAAAAUAUUUCACUGCUAUUGAACUAUUCCUUUAAUAUCUGUAUAAAUGUUUUUAAGUAUUAUAUUUUGAGGAUUUUGAAGCUUUAGGUUUCUUAUUUAAAAUA